rnacentral:lncRNA from 1 species
AGCACAGCAGCCACGGUCCCCUGAAGUGAUUCUGAGUCUUUUUUUAGCCUGAAAUUGAAAUCACUGAUGCUUCAAAUUAGAACCCGGGAUGAAUGGGCCAGGUCUUCAGACCUGCCACAGCUAAGUGUCCACAUCCACCUUCUCAGCAGGACUCUGGGUGGCUCCUCAGCCGGAGCCACCUGUUUCCAGCCAAUAUGGUCGACAAAGAGAAGGAUCCCUUGGUCCAGGAAGGCCGUGUGCAGAAAAGGGGUUCAACCUCCAGGGUGUGCAGCGGCUCCCUCGGAACAGGGGCUCCUUCUGACCCUUGGGGACACAGACCCCAGGCACCUGACUCCAAAGGCUGUUGAGCCUCAGGGAGCGGACCCCAAAGGCAUGGCUUGAAGCCACAGAACUAGAAAGAUUCCACACUCAGAGGGACAUGUGUGGCUUCACUUUGACAUGAGACCAGCAAGACACUGGCCCUCAGAAGCCAAGCGUCCCUGGGAGCCCAGCUCAGGAGCCUGGCCACCGCCUGCCUCCUGGCCCCAUCGGCUGGAGCUUCGUCUGUAACUUCGUGUUUUAGUCAGUGUUUUGCUGCUGCGACCAAAAGCCCUGACAAGAAAAACCAGAGGAAAGUUGACUGUGGGUCUUGUGGUUUCAGAGGUCUCAGUUCCUACAUGGCUGGCUGCACGGCUCAGGGCCCGAGCGGGGGCAGGACACUCGGCAGCAGAGUGUGGCUGAGGAAAGCAGCUCAGGACGUGCCACCAGGAAGCAGAGAGAGAGAGACUUCACUUGCCAGACACAAAAUAUCACGCCCCAGUGCCACCUGCGCCAGCCCCCCGCCUGCCUACAGGUACCACCCAGUUAACCCCAUCAGGGCGCCAAUCUGUGGUCUGGUGAAGACUCUCCCAACCGAGUCAUUUCAAUGCUAACCUCUCGCCUUGUCUCACUCGGGAGCUUUCGGGGGACAUGUCACACUUAGUUAUUGAAUCGUCACUCGAAACCGUGUGAAUAAGAUCCACAGGGCUUUUGGAGGAUCUGGGGUUGGACUGAAUUCCUCUGUUGGCCACUGGGACCCCCAGCAGGACACGUGACAGUCUCUCAUGGUAACCCAAAAGGUAAGGUGGGGAAUGUGCACUGUGAAGUGUGGCCGGACGCUCAGCUGAAGGGUCCUGGCAGCCGAGAAGCCACAGAGGCUCGGGCCUGGGCCCCUGGGUUUGUCAUUAGAGGGUAAAUGGGCACUGAGAAGGGAAUUCCAGGAUUACCUAAAAGCCAGCCCUGUGCCAGAACAGCAUGACGCAAGGUGGCGGGCACCCCAGGAGCAGAGGCUCCGUCCAAAUCAGGAGGCCGCCUGCCAGGGCGUCAGGGCAGGGGACGGGAGCAGGUGCCCGCACUGGCUGUCACCCUGCAGUGAGACGCAAGGGGCCACCACAGCCAGCAUGACCUCAGUGGCCAGGGCCCGGCUGUAGGUGGUGGCAGGGGGUGGGUGCUUCACAACUGCUACAUGCUCGAGUGGCCGCGGGAACAGUCAUCUGUCAUUGUUAAAACUGACUAUUAUGUGCUCAGCUAACGCUGCUCGGCCUCUCCUCUGAGUCAGACAUCAGCAACAGACACGCGGAUCAACAGCGAGCACCCCCGGGCCAGCCCCACGCGGCACCGUGCCCCGCGGCCUCCAUACGGAGAGCCUGGGGCCUCACGUGGCUAUGGCAGGUGCCGGUGCUCCCGACCCCCCAUUUCACCAAGAGGGAAACCAAGACCCCAGCGAGUCCACGCUGCUGAAGAACGUGGGCCAGGACAGGUCGGGGGAGCUGGCCUUCACUUCCUUCCCUCCAGGUAAC